GUGUUUGUUGGUUGGAUUGUUUGGUAGCAAACUGGCGAUGAUGAGGCGCGGGGUCUCGGCCCCCAGAUUGUGAUGUCUCAGUGGGAGGCGGGCCGAGUGACGCAAACGGGGGGGUGAGCCCGCGGGUGCCAGUGCCUGGUCCGGGAGGGCUCGCCUCCCCCCGCCCCCAGUCCCGAGUACGACCCCGACCUUCACCCCUCCACCGCAGGUCCCCUGUCCCCGCAAUUCUGAGAGGUAGCCCGGCUCAGGGCAAGGGGUCCAGGCCGUGCCCACCCGCCCUGCAGGCUGCUCCCGGGAGCGCGGCUGCGAGGGCCUGGGUAGGGGAGCGGUGAGUGUGGAACAUGGUGUCAGGGGGAGUUCUCUGCCUAAACUCAGGGCCGUGGCGAGAAGGACCCCCUUUCCUGGGUUUGGAUGUUGGAAAUCUUUCCCAGGGGUUCCUGUCCAGAGAUGGAUGACCCCAGGUUCCGGAAGGAGGGAGGAGCAGCCUGCCUGCCCGGUACCCUGUGGAGCAUAGGCGUCUGACUCUCCUAAGUUCCGGGAUCUUGUUUGGGGAUCAUUAAUUCAAACGUCAGGCAGAGCUACUGGUUUUACAAACACAGAAAAAGUGAGAUCCCAGAGUCUUGGAAUUUUCCUCAGGCUACCAAGUGAAUGAGGGAAGGAGACCUCCAGCUCAGUAUUCUGACCUUUUCAGAACACACACAAAGUCCUUUAUGUACAGAAUAUUUUAAGAGAAAAAAAAAAGGGGGCAGGGCUCCCAGCAUUUAAACAUGGGCUGUAUUUAUCCUUGCUAUGUUCAUAGUACUGAAAUACUAGAAACCCCCAAAGAUGGGCUACUCCCUAAAUAACAAAUCACUGCGGAGCCCCUGCAGGGGAACAGAUCCUGUGCCCUUGAGGCAGGGCCUUAAGGUGACUCCAGCCUUGGGUAGAUUCCUGGUAGAGGUGGGGGAACAGCCAACCAACAACGAAACAAAAUACAGAUGGAAGAGAGUUCCAGAAAGGAGAAAUCCACGUGGGGUGGAAAGAGAAUUUUAGGUGGUUUUUCAAGAUGGAAUGGGAGCCUGAUUCAGCAGUCAGCGUGAGGCUGGCCCCUAACAGGAAAAGUCCUCUGCCUGAAGGCUUGGCUUCCCGGGAGUUUCCAGAAAUGGAUUUUCUAGAAAUUGCCCAAUUCUGCUAGAAUCUUUAUCGUUGUUUAACACUGACUUCUGCCAAGGGAAAGGACAUGGAGUCAGAGAAUCACAAAGAAUCCCUGGACUGGACCUCAGAGACCAUGGAAUCCAACAUCCCUCCCACGGAAGGAUUUCUAAAACCAUCUGGCCUGGUGCUGUUCCUGCCUCUGCUUAUGGGGAGGAUGACUUCAGGCAGAUAAUCUGGGUGGAUUAUUUAUCUCCACAUCCUAGACCUCCUUUGGGAAUCCUGCAGGACAUGAUGCAAAGGCUGAUGCCAGAGAGAAAUGCUGAGAAAUAGAAGGAAUCCAGCUCAGCAAAAAGAGUGGAAUAAGUGUGGACCCAGAAUCCCUACCUGGCAGGGUUGCUGUGAGAUCAAAGAUUCGCAAAUAGAGAAGAGGUGGUUCAGUAAGUCUUCAGCAAAAUUCAGACCACCUUUAUGCAAUAAAAUGAACCACAUUCAGAAGAAAAGCUGCCCUGAACUUGGAAAUUAACUAAAGUGUAAAAUAUUAAAAUAUUCUCUGAGAUUUUAUUAAUUUUUUUGGUGUGUGGAGGUGUUGAUGGUUGAUUUUUUUUUUUUUAAUUCUGCUUCUCUCCGUAGACUGCACCGGAUGUCCCAAUUUCCACAAAUAAAACCCUUCAUUUCUUCAGGUUCAAAUAGUCAAAGGCUGCUUCCCUGGAGACAACUCUGCUAAUUUUUUUUUUCUUGCAGGCAUUAGAACACUAUUUAAGGAGUGUAUAUUUUCCAGUAAAGCAAAUGAUAAAAAUGUUUUCCCCUGCAAAGUAUGAUGAGAUGCUGGUAAUGUGAAAAU